CUCUUACGAUCUAGGAAAUCGGCUUGGGGAAUUUUUAUUAACUUGUUAACUAAACAUGUUAUUCUGAGCUACACAUUCUUUUAUACAAAAUUGAGUAUUU